GUCAGCAAGAGACGCUGGGGAGAAAGCAGGGACUGCGAGCCCCGCGGAUGCGGCAGCGCGGAGGGCGGCUGGGGAGACGCUACUCCAACUGUUGAAUUUUCACCUUUCAUUUCCACCGAUGCUUUGCUUGCGGAGAUGGAUAUAUUUGCUUUGAAAUCCGCACGUCUUUCGCAGGCUGUGAGCUGAUCGUGACAGGCACCAGACUGAGAGACCACCCGUGACAAAAAAGGAGGACCCCCCAAAAAAAAACCAAAAAAGCAAAAACCUCCACAACGGACUGCACAAUUAACUACGCACACCGGUGUUGGACUUUGUGAAUAGAGAACAUUGAGAGGAAAAUCGUGAAAUAUGAUGCGGGGCUAAUCUGUGAACAGUCACUGUAAUCCAGAUUUGUUUUUUUUUUUUCCCCCAAGACUCUGAAAGAUUUGGGGGUUCCUUACGCCUAACAAAAAGGGAAGGUUUUUUUGUCGUUGUUUUGUUUUGUUUUUGUUUUUAAAUAAAUACACCUUGCAAAACAGACGCCUUGCUAUCCAGAGCCUCGGACUCCGGCAGAAAGAGAGUGAGUCAGAGAAAGCAUUAGGAAGAAGCCACAACUAAUGUCUGUGAAGGGAGGACGAUGAGGCGAGAGUGAAUACGAUUCGUUCCGCUACUUCUGACUCAUCCGGCAGAUCGGAACACCUGCAUUUCUGGAUGUGUCAUUCCUGUUUGUCGAGGCGCCUCGACAACCCGAAAUAGUGUGUAGACAGACCCGUGCCUAGUAUCCCCUGGGCGGUAGCUACCCGGGGAGGGCUCCCCUGGCUGGACCGCCGCGGCCGCAGCUCCUCGCCCGCUGCCCUCGCUAGUCGCCCAGAGAGACUGCGAGAGCGAGACUGCAGAAUGCAUCACGCCAAACCUUGAUGCGUUCCUUUCAUCCAGCCCACUCCUCCUACUAUAGAAAAAAUUGAAG